rnacentral:snoRNA from 1 species
GUAAGAGCUAAAAAAAGAAGGCAGAAAAAGGAGCCCAGAGUGACAGUUUUUCUUGACAGUCGCCGUUCUGUUUGCUGUAACCGAUCUGCAACAUUUCAGGAAAAGACAAUU